UCCGAGUUGACCCCGGCAGUCUCCUAUGAGUCCCCGGCAUAACCCGCUGGCAACAUAGGACGAGGGUUGCGCUCGUUGCGGGACUUAACCCAACAUCUCACGACACGAGCUGACGACAACCAUGCACCACCUGUACACCGACCUUGCGGGGCUCCCGUUUCUGAGAGUUUCCGGUGUAUGUCAAGCCUUGGUAAGGUUCUUCGCGUUGCAUCGAAUUAAUCAGCAUGCUCCGCCGCUUGUGCGGGCCCCCGUCAAUUCCUUUGAGUUUUAGCCUUGCGGCCGUACUCCCCAGGCGGGGCGCUUAAUGCGUUAGCUGCGGCACAGAGGACGUGGAAGUCCCCCACACCUAGCGCCCACCGUUUACGGCGUGGACUAC
rnacentral:misc_RNA from 1 species